CCUACGGGUGGCUGCAGUGGGGAAUAUUGGACAAUGGGCGGAAGCCUGAUCCAGCAACGCCGCGUGAGGGAUGAAGGCCUUCGGGUUGUAAACCUCUUUCGCACAGGACGAAGCGCAAGUGACGGUACUGUGUAAAGAAGCACCGGCCAACUACGUGCCAGCAGCCGCGGUAAUACGUAGGGUGCGAGCGUUGUCCGGAAUUAUUGGGCGUAAAGGGCUCGUAGGCGGUUUGUCGCGUCGGGAGUGAAAACACUGGGCUUAACUCAGUGCCUGCU
rnacentral:rRNA from 1 species